rnacentral:rRNA from 1 species
CCUACGGGUGGCAGCAGUCGAGAAUCAUUCACAAUGGGGGAAACCCUGAUGGUGCGACGCCGCGUGGGGGAAUGAAGGUCUUCGGAUUGUAAACCCCUGUCAUGUGGGAGCAAAUUAAAAAGAUAGUACCACAAGAGGAAGAGACGGCUAACUCUGUGCCAGCAGCCGCGGUAAUACAGAGGUGGCAAGCGUUGUUCGGAAUCACUGGGCGUAAAGCGUGCGUAGGCUGUUUCGUAAGUCGUGUGUGAAAGGCGCGGGCUCAACCCGCGGACGGCACAUGAUACUGCGAGACUAGAGUGAUGGAGGGGGAACCGGAAUUCUCGGUGUAGCAGUGAAAUGCGUAGAUAUCGAGAGGAACACUCGUGGCGAAGGCGGGUUCCUGGACAUUAACUGACGCUGAGGCACGAAGGCCAGGGGAGCGAAAGGGAUUAGAUACCCGUGUAGUC